rnacentral:hammerhead_ribozyme from 1 species
AUUCAGAUGACGAGUCCCAAAUAGGACGAAACUAGAGUCUUGAAU